rnacentral:rRNA from 1 species
UACGUAGGGACCGAGCGUUGUCCGGAAUCAUUGGGCGUAAAGAGCUCGUAGGCGGCUUGUCGCGUCGUCCGUGAAAACCUGUGGCUCAACUGCAGGCUUGCGGUCGAUACGGGCAGGCUGGAGUUCGGUAGGGGAGACUGGAAUUCCUGGUGUAGCGGUGAAAUGCGCAGAUAUCAGGAGGAACACCGGUGGCGAAAGCGACGUGCUGGCCCUCUUCUGACGCUGAGGCGCGAAAGCCAGGGGAGCAAACGGG